UGGGGAAUUUUGGACAAUGGGGGAAACCCUGAUCCAGCCAUCCCGCGUGUGCGAUGAAGGCCUUCGGGUUGUAAAGCACUUUUGGCAGGAAAGAAACGUCAUGGGUUAAUACCCCGUGAAACUGACGGUACCUGCAGAAUAAGCACCGGCUAACUACGUGCCAGCAGCCGCGGUAAUACGUAGGGUGCAAGCGUUAAUCGGAAUUACUGGGCGUAAAGCGUGCGCAGGCGGUUCGGAAAGAAAGAUGUGAAAUCCCAGAGCUCAACUUUGGAACUGCAUUUUUAACUACCGGGCUAGAGUGUGUCAGAGGGAGGUGGAAUUCCGCGUGUAGCAGUGAAAUGCGUAGAUACGCGGAGGAACACCGAUGGCGAAGGCAGCCUCCUGGGAUAACACUGACGCUCAUGCACGAAAGCGUGGGGAGCAAACAGG
rnacentral:rRNA from 1 species